CGAGUCCUUCGAAAUCUAGGCUGUACCGAUGCAAUCAAGAAUUGAUUGCAAAUGUCAAACGAAAGCUUGAAGUGAAUGAUAUGGCAGGAAUUCCAUUACACAAGAGUUACAACUCUGCAGUGGUGGAAGCAGGUAGUUAUGAGAUUAUGGCUUUCAUCGAGAAAGAUUUUCGAAAUUAUAUUGAACAAGUGCGACGGUUAAGACUCAGAGAAGGAGAUGUCGCCGCAAUACAGGCCUAUUUUUCGAAUAUGCAAGCACAGUGCAUGGAAUUUUACUUCAUUAUAGAUUUAGAUGAGGAGUCCCAACUGAAGAAUGUAUUUUGGGCAGACAACAGGUAUAGGCAAGUAUACAAAGAGUUUGGUGAUGUUGUCACCUUUGAUACAACAUACCUUACUAAUAAGUACGACAUGUCGUUCACCCUAUUUGUUGGCGUCAAUCUCGGUUGUGGCUUGAUAGCUAAUGAGGACACGACUACAUUCGUAUGGCUAUUUCAAACAUGGCUGCAAUGCAUGCACGGUCAAGCACCGCAUGAAAUAAUUGCUGAUCAAGACAGGGCAAUGCAGAAUGCAAUUCAGAUUGUAUUUUCACAUACGACGAAUAGGUGGUGUCUGUAGCAUAUUUUGAAGAAGUUGCUUGAGAAGUUUGGCUAUCACGAUGCUAAGGCUUCAAUCUUUCAUACUAUACAUAGAUUAGUAUAUGAUUCGCAGACCGUUGAAGAUUUCGAAGAAGUAUGGAAGGCGAUGAUUGAUACAUACAAGUUGUAUGACAAUGAUUGGUUGUCGGGAUUGUUUGAAAACAGAGGCUAUUGGAUUCCUUGCUUCUUGAAAGUCACAUUUUGGGCUGGAAUGUCCACAACGCAAAGAAGUGAGAGUGUGAAUGCAUUCUUUGACGGAUAUGUGCAUUCAAAAAUCUCUUUAAAGUAAUUUGUUGAACAAUAUGAAAGAGUACUGCGGACCAAGGUCGAGAAAGAGUUCCAGGCUGAUUUUAAGUCAUACGCGCAAAUGGUACCAUGCGUAACAAAUUUUAAUUUGGAAAAGCAAUUUCAAAAAGUUUACACCAUAUCAAAGUUUAGAAAGGUUUAGAACGAGUUCAUUGGGAAAGUUUAAUAUUACAUUAUAUCUGUUUCAGGGGGAUGUUCGAGGACGAUUUAUGAGGUUUGGGAAGAUGUCCUACUAUAUGGAGAGCAUAGGACGAAAAAAUCUUUUUCGUCUCAUUUACGAAGGAGACGUGUGAUGAUAUUGUUUGUGUUUGCAGCUGUCAUUUAUUCGAGUUUCGAGGGAUACUUUGUCGGCAUGCAUUCACUGUUUUGAUACGUAAUAAUGUCAAGUUAUUGCCGAAAAAGUUUAUAUUGCGAAGAUGAAUGAGGGAUGUUAGUAGAGCGCACACGAGGGUGGCAGUGCACUACGUUGGGUUGGCCAGUAUUCCUGUACAAUUGAGGUAUGACGAUAUAUGUCGGGCAUUUUUCGAGGUGGCUGACCUUGCUGUUGACGAUGAAGCCCAAAGUUCUACAGUAAUGGAUUGGAUGAGCUGAAGUCAAGUUGUUGUACUCAUUCCAAUCAUGUAAUAUCUCACAGAUCGGAUUCUCUAAAUCAUUCUGGCAUCAAUGUACUAAAUUCCCUAUCAUCAAAGCGAAAGGGUGCGCCAAGGAAAUUUUGACGUAAAGGACAGUUGGAUUCAAUGUCGAAGAAAGCAAAGGUAUUUUAUAUUUUAUUCUCUUUCCUUACGAUUUCAACCUGAGUUCGAAUGUAAAUUCUAAUAUGUUUUCGAUGUGACAUGCAAGCAAGUUCGACGAAAGGAAAAGGCAGUAGACCGACUGGUAGACAUAGCACUAUGGAAAAUGGUGUACUAGAUGUUGACGGCUCUGAACAAUGUUCGUCGUUGACGCCAUUGUCAUCUUCGCAACCAUUUUUGGUACGUAUUUUAUUUCAUUUGGUCCGAGCCUUAUUUAGGAUAUUUUGUAAUGUAGGGUGACAGUAGCAACCAACAAUAGUUACAACGAACAGCUGUGGUUGACAUCGAGUGGCUACAAUUUGUCGAGAAAAAGCGAUGAGCCUUCUUUUAGGAAUGGUCAAGGAUAUCUGCGAAUAUUUUGAUUAGUUCUAGGCUGAUUAUGUAUGGUUUGUGCAGAAAUAUAAUUGUAGCCAAUAGCCAUAUAUUCAUAUUGUAUGGCUUGACUAAUUAUGGCCAGUAGCAUCCAUUUUGUAUUUUCAUUUUAUAUGGCUUGACUAACAAUUAUGGCCAAUAGCCAUGAAAUGCCCUAAAUGGAAAUGAUGAGUUCAUGUGUUUACAGUGAAACUAA
rnacentral:lncRNA from 1 species